GGACCCUUUCUGGAGGGCCGGCUUCGUCAGACCCCUGCAGCUUUCAGAGUCCCUGCGGCGACAAACUUUGGAGGCACAACCGAUGUCCGUCAACGGUUCCUUCAGGCAGCAGCACUGGGCGGGUUCAGUCAGUUUAUAGCCCAUCGAUAAAGCUUCUUCAAACCCCAUAUGGUCAUUUCUGAGAGUGUUUCAAGUUGCGAGGUGCAACUUCAACUGAUAACAAGGACGUUAUCUUCAGAAACCAGGACAAGGGCUCCAUGAGCUUCAUUUAACUUUCUUUUAUAGUCAUUUCAUUACUCAUCAUUAUGAGUUACUACAGACAAUAUGAAAGGUUCUCAUAGCAAGCACCAUCUAAUAGUGAGUAAACCUUCUCUCAUAGCUAAGCUAUUUGGUAUAUCAC